rnacentral:lncRNA from 10 species
CUACAAAUAAAUCUAACAAAAGAUGUUCAGGACCCUGCACUAAAAACUACAAAAUGCUGCUGAAAAAAAAUUGAAGAUAUGUAAGGAGAGAUAUGUCAUCUUCAUUAACUAGAAGACUCAAUAUUGUUAAUAUCAACUCUCUACAAAUUAGGGAUGCAAUGCAAUUCCAUCAAAAUUGUGGAAUUUCACAAGCUGAUUAUAAAAUGUAUAUGGUCAUGCAAAGGACCUAGAAUAGUCCCAAACAAUCUGAAUAACAAAAUUGAAAGAAUUCCACUAUUAAAUAACGAGACUUACUUUAAAGGUACAGUAAUUAAGAUUGCAUGGUAUUAAUGCAAUGGAAAGAACAGAGUCCAGAAAUACAAACGUAUACCUGAUUUACAAGAAAGAUGCCAUUGAAA